rnacentral:misc_RNA from 1 species
GCAUGGAACUGCUUCCCUCACUUUGGAUCAGUUGUUGCUCCACGAGAUAAACGUUGGACGCAAGACAUGGGUUCCUGUGUUGCAUACCUAUUGCGACGGAAAUGUGUGCCUUCGAUCGUCCCUUCCAUCACGGCGUCCUCACGGAUGCUCGGUUGGACCGGAUAGUGGGGCUCGUGUUCCACGAACGUCGUCUCAUUCGACCGUUCGGAUGGACCACGGGUGCCCACUCGUUCUCUCGGAUGCGGAAAUCUCUUGAUGGGCGUGGGGUCAUUGGCCCUUGGUCCCUAAUCGUUAAGCGUUUAUCGCUUCACCGGAAUGACGAUCUCGCCUUGUCCUUGACCACGUGAAGCCCUCGGGCAUCGCGACGGAUCAUGCUCGGCGGACGUCGUGAAGGAAUGC